rnacentral:sRNA from 1 species
AUGCUGAAAUAACCAUACUAGUUAACAUAGUUGUUUUUAAAUUUUGCAAUAUCAUUGCAUGGCUUCAUCUUUUAAAUUUCUGCAAGGUUUCAAUAUAUCUAUUUCUUCUUUUUUUGAGAGGCAAAUGAAUAAUUCUGGAAGGGUAAAAACACAUGAGUCUACUAAAUACAUAAAUGAAUACAAUGUAUACUUUAGGAAAGUAGAUUUUUAAACAAGGUCAUAUUUUUAAAUUUCUCCUUAUGUUUAGGUCUAUUACAAUGGCUACCAUGGAGACACCUCUGAAACAUUUUUGGUGGGCAAUGUGGACGAAUGUGGUAAAAAGUUAGUGGAGGUUGCCAGGAGGUGUAGAGAUGAAGCAAUUGCAGCUUGCAGAGCAGGGGCUCCCUUCUCUGUAAUUGGAAACACAAUCAGCCACAUAACUCAUCAGAAUGGUUUGCAAGUCUGUCCACAUUUUGUGGGACAUGGAAUAGGAUCUUACUUUCAUGGACAUCCAGAAAUUUGGCAUCAUGCAAAUGACAAUGAUCUACCCAUGGAGGAGGGCAUGGCAUUCACUAUAGAGCCAAUCAUCACGGAGGGAUCCCCUGAAUUUAAAGUCCUGGAGGAUGCAUGGACUGUGGUCUCCCUAGACAAUCAAAGGUGUUUGCUUUCUGCUCUGUUGCUUUUAAAUUGUAUGGGAAAGGAAGAUUGGUCCGACGGCGCGCUUGCGGCCCGGCCGGAGCUUGCGUGCGCGUUCUGACGGCUGGGUGCUGUGUUACAGGUCGGCCCAGUUCGAGCACACGGUUCUCAUCACGUCGAGGGGCGCGCAGAUCCUGACCAAACUGCCCCAUGAGGCCUGAGGAGCCGCCCGAAGGUCGCGGUGACCGGGUGCCUUUUUAAAUAAAUUGCUGAAAUUUGGCUGGAGAACUUUUA